AACAAACGCUGGCGGCGUGCCUAAUACAUGCAAGUCGAACGCAGUAGCAAUACUGAGUGGCGCACGGGUGAGGAACACGUGGAUAAUCUACCUUUGAGUGGGGAACAACCUUUCGAGAGAAGGGCUAAUACCGCAUAAGACCACAGACACUUCGGUGACAGGGGUCAAAGGGGGCGUAAGCUCUCGCUUGAAGAUGAGUCCGCGCUCGAUUAGCUAGUUGGUAGGGUAAGAGCCUACCAAGGCGACGAUCGAUAGCUGGUCUGAGAGGACGACCAGCCACACUGGAACUGAGACACGGUCCAGACUCCUACGGGAGGCAGCAGUAGGGAAUAUUGCACAAUGGAGGAAACUCUGAUGCAGCGACGCCGCGUGAGUGAUGAAGGCCUUCGGGUCGUAAAGCUCUGUUGUACGGGAAGAAGGUCAUUUACCUAAUACGUAAGAGGCUUGACGGUACCGUAUAAGAAAGGACCGGCUAACUUCGUGCCAGCAGCCGCGGUAAGACGAGGGGUCCUAGCGUUGUUCGGAAUCAUUGGGCGUAAAGAGUAUGUAGGCGGCUUUUCAAGUCAGAUGUGAAAGCCCACGGCUUAACCGUGGAAAUGCAUUUGAAACUGCUAAGCUUGAGUGCGAAAGAGGAUGGUAGAAUUCCAGGUGUAGUGGUGAAAUACGUAGAUAUCUGGAGGAAUACCGGAGGCGAAGGCGGCCAUCUGGUUCGCUACUGACGCUGAGAUACGAAAGCGUGGGGAUCAAACAGGAUUAGAUACCCUGGUAGUCCACGCCGUAAACGAUGGAUACUUGGUGUUGGAGGUAUUGACCCCUUCAGUGCCGAAGCUAACGCGUUAAGUAUCCCGCCUGGGAAGUACGGUCGCAAGAUUAAAACUCAAAGAAAUUGACGGGGGCCCGCACAAGCGGUGGAGCAUGUGGUUCAAUUCGAUGCAACGCGAAAAACCUUACCUGGGUUUGAAGUGCUAGUGAAUAGGGUAGAGAUAUCCUAGGCCUUCGGGACACUAGUAUCAGGUGCUGCAUGGCUGUCGUCAGCUCGUGUCGUGAAAUGUCGGGUUAAGUCCCAUAACGAGCGUAACCCCUGUCUUUAGUUGCCAGCAUUAAGUUGGGCACUCUAAAGAGACUGCCGACGUUAAGUCGGAGGAAGGUGGGGAUGACGUCAAGUCCUCAUGGCCUUUAUGUCCAGGGCUACACACGUGCUACAAUGGCGGUGACAGUGGGCAGCCACCUCGCGAGAGGGAGCUAAUCCCCAAAAGCCGUCUCAGUUCGGAUUGUUCUCUGCAACUCGAGAGCAUGAAGGCGGAAUCGCUAGUAAUCGCGGAUCAGCAUGCCGCGGUGAAUACGUUCCCAGGCCUUGUACACACCGCCCGUCACACCAUGGGAGUUGGAUUCACCCGAAGGCGUUGCGCUAACUCGCAAGAGAGGCAGGCGACCACGGUGGGUUUAGCGACUGGGGUG
rnacentral:rRNA from 1 species